GGACCCGCACAAGUAGUGGAGCAUGUGGUUUAAUUCGAUGCAACGCGAAAAACCUUACCUACUCUUGACAUACUUGGGAGCUCUUGUAAUGAGAGUGUGCCUUUUGGAACCAAGAUACAGGUGCUGCAUGGCUGUCGUCAGCUCGUGUCGUGAGAUGUUCCGUUAAGUCGGAUAACGAGCGCAACCCUUACCCUUAUUUGCCAGCGAUUCGGUCGGGAACUCUAACAAGACUGCCGGUGCAAACCGUGAGGAAGGUGGGGAUGACGUCAAAUCAUCACGGCCCUUACGUCCUGGGCUACACACGUGCUACAAUGGUAGGGACAGAGAGCAGCCACUACGCGAGUAGGAGCGAAUCUAUAAACCCUAUCACAGUUCGGAUCGGAGUCUGCAACUCGACUCCGUG
rnacentral:rRNA from 1 species